GACGUAGGGCGCGAGCGUUGUCCGGAAUUAUUGGGCGUAAAGGGCUCGUAGGCGGUUUGUCGCGUCGGGAGUGAAAACACCGGGCUUAACUCGGUGCUUGCUUUCGAUACGGGCAGACUGGAGGUAUGCAGGGGAGAACGGAAUUCCUGGUGUAGCGGUGAAAUGCGCAGAUAUCAGGAGGAACACCGGUGGCGAAGGCGGUUCUCUGGGCAUUACCUGACGCUGAGGAGCGAAAGUGUGGGGAGCGAACAGG
rnacentral:rRNA from 1 species